rnacentral:lncRNA from 1 species
AUGCCACUCAAGAUAUUUACAUUAACACCACUAGGAACUCCAGGCCCAACACUCACACUAGCAGCACUAGGAAUAUUGCUUGCACUUAUAUUAGCACUCCCCAGCACGCUGCUUGUCACAUUAGGACUGAAACUACCCACAGCAGCAAUGUUAACAUUAUUCACUGUAUUAGUGCCAGUAACAGAAUUUAUACCUAUACCGCCUGCAGUGCUGGGGGCACGGAUAUUAGUCAUUACAGAUGCAGGUGAGCCACUCGAUGAUGCAAUGUUCACAUCAGAGGAUGAGCACGUGGUUGGGUGCGUGAUGUGUGCCGGAUGCAUUCGUGCUGAACGAAGUUGCAUAGCAUCAACACUGCAGAUCCUGGGGAGGCCAGAAAUCAGUAAACCACUUCAGCCCCCUGUCAUUUUUCCUCCUAGAGCAGAGCACAGAGCUCUCAUACAAGGAUGCUGUGUGCCCGAACGCCGGGAUUCAUUGUUGAAGUUCCAAAUGCGUUGUUAAUCCUAGAGAAGAAUCCACAGCCAGGGCUGUCUGUCGCUGCAGUGGCAGGAGCGGGGGUAACUCAUCCGCCUAGCACGCACCCUUCUGUCCCCCCUUCCAGGCUGUGUUUUACAGCUCUUUGGAGCUGUGGUUCUCAUUCUUAUUCUAUCCCUGAUUUACUGCUUGACCUCAAAAUGAGUCACUAAAUCUCAGUUAAUAGCUUCAGUUUCUCCUCCAGUGAGAGCCAAAGGGGCUUGGCUAUCGGGUUAGCAAACACCAAGCCUUAAAAAGUGGCUGUAUAACUCAAUGUCAUCCAUCAUCUCUGGAAGGUUAAUGGGAGUGAACCGCCAAUACAAAGCUCCACUCCAGCUCCCUCCACUCCUCCCAAGUUAGCCUCUGGGGGUUGUUCCAGUGCUGGGUAGUGCAUUUAGGGGAAAAGGACAAAGAAGCCGGAAGCAGUUACCCCAAACUCAAGAGAGAAGACAUCUUGGCAACAGAAAGCAGCUAGGAGAAACUAUGACUCUCUGGCCAGAGUGAUUGUGAUUUGGUUCCCAAGUUUCCCCCUUGGAAAGAGUAAAUUGGUUCCUGCUUUUAAAAGAUGAAUGAAAAAGGCCACUGUGCACAUCAGCUUUCAAUAUUUAAAGUUAAGGUAGACACAGGUUUAUGCAGUAAAUCAAUUAUGGAGCGAUUAUUCACAUUCCCCUAGCAUUUACCACUUGCUUUCUUUGCAGAGAGCAUUGCCAGAGCUUUGACCUAAGAUGUGGGUUUAACGUUAGAGAUUUGCAUACUGUCCUGCAGUAGAAAUCUGAUUGUAAGAGGAAUGCAUGGCUGGUCUCAGAGAGUGAUGGGUCAGGAAGUAUGAAUGCACAGUAGAGGCUGGCAUUUCCUUCAGGCGUCCCCCCUGCUGCCCAAACCUGCGGUUCCUGGAGAGGAAACAAAGCACAGAGGGAAAGCCCAGGUCCCCGCGAGAAAGAUCUGGAGGAGAGGGAGGCAUUGGGUGGGCUGGUUAAGUCCCAGCUUCGGACACUUGCAUCCUGUGAAGAAGUGCCUGGUUCACGUCCUGCUUGUGUGCACCCUGGGAGGCAGCAGAUGAUGACUGUAGGACUUGUGUCUCUACCACCCGUGUGGGAGCCCUGGAUUGAGUUCCAGGCUUUGGCCUGGCCCAGCCCCUGGUGUUGUGGGCAUUUGGGAGGAUUCUCUCUCUCUCUCUCCUCUCUCUCUAAUAGAAUGAAAAUAAAUACAUAAAAAUUUUUAAAAAGAAAGUUCA